CUAAGAAUAUUCCGCAAUGGACGAAAGUCUGACGGAGCGACGCCGCGUGGAUGAAGAAGGUCGAAAGAUUGUAAAAUCCUUUUGAAUAUGAAGAAUAAGUGUUGUAGGGAAUGAUAACACGAUGACCGUAGUAUUUGAAUAAGCAACGGCUAAUUACGUGCCAGCAGCCGCGGUAACACGUAAGUUGCGAGCGUUGUUCGGAAUUAUUGGGCGUAAAGGGCAUGUAGGCGGUUUGGCAAGCUUGGUGUGAAAUCCCAGAGCUCAACUCUGGAACUGCAUUGAGAACUGCUAGACUAGAAUUACUAAGGGGCAACUAGAAUUCCAAGUGUAGGGGUGAAAUCUGUAGAUAUUUGGAAGAAUACCAAUGGCGAAGGCAAGUUGCUGGUAGAUAAUUGACGCU
rnacentral:rRNA from 1 species